GAUGAACGCUAGCGGGAGGCCUAACACAUGCAAGCCGAGCGGUAUUUGUCCUUCGGGACAGAGAGAGCGGCGUACGGGUGCGGAACACGUGUGCAACCUGCCUUUAUCUGGGGGAUAGCCUUUCGAAAGGAAGAUUAAUACCCCAUAAUAUAUCGAAUGGCAUCAUUCGAUAUUGAAAACUCCGGUGGAUAGAGAUGGGCACGCGCAAGAUUAGAUAGUUGGUGAGGUAACGGCUCACCAAGUCAGUGAUCUUUAGGGGGCCUGAGAGGGUGAUCCCCCACACUGGUACUGAGACACGGACCAGACUCCUACGGGAGGCAGCAGUGAGGAAUAUUGGACAAUGGGUGAGAGCCUGAUCCAGCCAUCCCGCGUGAAGGACUAAGGCCCUAUGGGUUGUAAACUUCUUUUAUACUGGGAUAAACCUACUUACGUGUAAGUAGCUGAAGGUACAGUAUGAAUAAGCACCGGCUAACUCCG
rnacentral:rRNA from 1 species